rnacentral:rRNA from 1 species
UACGUAGGGGGCGAGCGUUAUCCGGAUUCACUGGGCGUAAAGCGGGCGUAGGCGGCCUGUUAAGUCUGAUGUGAAAUCUCCUGGCUUAACUGGGAGGGUGCAUUAGAUACUGAUGGGCUGGAGUGCAGCAGAGGAAAGUGGAAUUCCCGGUGUAGUGGUGAAAUGCGUAGAUAUCGGGAGGAACACUAGUGGCGAAGGCGGCUUUCUGGGCUGUAACUGACGCUGAGGUCCGAAGGCGCGGGGAGCAAACAGG